rnacentral:rRNA from 1 species
GACGAACGCUGGCGGCGUGCUUAACACAUGCAAGUCGAACGGAAAGGCCCUGCUUUUGUGGGGUGCUCGAGUGGCGAACGGGUGAGUAACACGUGAGUAACCUGCCCUUGACUUUGGGAUAACUUCAGGAAACUGGGGCUAAUACCGGAUAGGAGCUCCUGCUGCAUGGUGGGGGUUGGAAAGUUUCGGCGGUUGGGGAUGGACUCGCGGCUUAUCAGCUUGUUGGUGGGGUAGUGGCUUACCAAGGCUUUGACGGGUAGCCGGCCUGGGAGGGUGACCGGCCACAUUGGGACUGAGAUACGGCCCAGACUCCUACGGGGGGCAGCAGUGGGGAAUAUUGCACAAUGGGCGGAAGCCUGAUGCAGCAACGCCGCGUGCGGGAUGACGGCCUUCGGGUUGUAAACCGCUUUCGCCUGUGACGAAGCGUGAGUGACGGUAAUGGGUAAAGAAGCACCGGCUAACUACGUG